rnacentral:rRNA from 1 species
AUUAGCUAGUUGGUGGGGUAACGGCCUACCAAGGCGACGAUGCGUAGCCGACCUGAGAGGGUGAUCGGCCACAUUGGGACUGAGACACGGCCCAGACUCCUACGGGAGGCAGCAGUGGGGAAUAUUGCACAAUGGGGGGAACCCUGAUGCAGCCAUGCCGCGUGAAUGAAGAAGGCCUUCGGGUUGUAAAGUUCUUUCGGUGAUGAGGAAGGCAUGUAAGUUAAUAGCUUACUUGAUUGACGUUAGUCACAGAAGAAGCACCGGCUAACUCCGUGCCAGCAGCCGCGGUAAUACGGAGGGUGCGAGCGUUAAUCGGAAUGACUGGGCGUAAAGGGCACGCAGGCGGUGACUUAAGUGAGAUGUGAAAGCCCCGGGCUUAACCUGGGAAUUGCAUUUCAUACUGGGUCGCUAGAGUAUUUUAGGGAGGGGUAGAAUUCCACGUGUAGCGGUGAAAUGCGUAGA